AAGAGUGUAGUAUUAAUUGGUUAGUAUGGCGAUCUCCAAAGUCCUCGGUAGGUGUUCGACUCACCUCGCUCUUG
rnacentral:tRNA from 1 species